rnacentral:rRNA from 1 species
UACGAAGGGGGCUAGCGUUGCUCGGAAUGACUGGGCGUAAAGGGUGCGUAGGCUGCGCGGAAAGUUGGGUGUGAAAUCCCUCGGCUCAACCGAGGAACUGCGCCCAAAACUGCCGUGCUCGAGGGAGACAGAGGUGAGCGGAACUUAGGGUGGAGCGGUGAAAUGCGUUGAUAUCCUAAGGAACACCGGUGGCGAAAGCGGCUCACUGGGUCUCUUCUGACGCUGAGGCACGAAAGCUAGGGUAGCGAACGGG